rnacentral:rRNA from 1 species
AUUGAACGCUGGCGGCAGGCCUAACACAUGCAAGUCGAACGGUAACAGAAAGCAGCUUGCUGCUUUGCUGACGAGUGGCGGACGGGUGAGUAAUGUCUGGGAAACUGCCUGAUGGAGGGGGAUAACUACUGGAAACGGUAGCUAAUACCGCAUAACGUCGCAAGACCAAAGAGGGGGACCUUCGGGCCUCUUGCCAUCGGAUGUGCCCAGAUGGGAUUAGCUAGUAGGUGGGGUAACGGCUCACCUAGGCGACGAUCCCUAGCUGGUCUGAGAGGAUGACCAGCCACACUGGAACUGAGACACGGUCCAGACUCCUACGGGAGGCAGCAGUGGGGAAUAUUGCACAAGGGGCGCAAGCCUGAUGCAGCCAUGCCGCGUGUAUGAAGAAGGCCUUCGGGUUGUAAAGUACUUUCAGCGGGGAGGAAGGGAGUAAAGUUAAUACCUUUGCUCAUUGACGUUACCCGCAGAAGAAGCACCGGCUAACUCCGUG